GAUGAACGCUGGCGGCGUGCCUAAUACAUGCAAGUCGAGCGAACAGACGAGGAGCUUGCUCCUUUGACGUUAGCGGCGGACGGGUGAGUAACACGUGGAUAACCUACCUAUAAGACUGGGAUAACUUCGGGAAACCGGAGCUAAUACCGGAUAACAUGUUGAACCGCAUGGUUCAACAGUGAAAGACGGUCUUGCUGUCACUUAUAGAUGGAUCCGCGCCGCAUUAGCUAGUUGGUAAGGUAACGGCUUACCAAGGCAACGAUGCGUAGCCGACCUGAGAGGGUGAUCGGCCCACCUGAAACUGAGACCCGGUCCAGACCCCUACGGGAGGCAGCAGUGGGGAAUCUUCCGCAAUGGGCGAAAGCCUGACGGAGCAACGCCGCGGGGGUGAAGAAGGUCUUCGGAUCGUAAAACUCUGUUAUUAGGGAAGAAAAAAUGUGUAAGUAACUAUGCCCGUUUUGACGGUCCCUAAUCAGAAAGCCCCGGCUAACUACUU
rnacentral:rRNA from 1 species